AAGGAGUCUCCUUCUCUGUUCUGCUUUGUACGCCCAAAACCUAAGCUAGGGUAAACCAUUUCAGGUGAAAUUGGGUCUGUCCUGGAUCACCUCAAUUCCCUACGAAAUACGACGCCAUCGUUGAAGAUCGAAAUUGAGAGCCUCGGUCUUUUUAUCUCUCUUUGAUUAGGUAAUUGAUGUUGAUUUCAGUUUUUAGGUCUUCUUUGAAGCGAGGAGAUUUAGAUUGUUUGGUCCGAUCGUUUGAUUUCCCCUUGGUUGCCGAGAAAAUUGAAAAUUGAAAAGUAAAGUUUGAAUCUUUUGUUUUGUUUUCCGUUGGGAAGAUCAUCAUCCAACUUCUUAUACUAGGGAAAGUUGACCAGAUUUUUAUUUAUUUUUUAUGGAAUCUCGUAUAGUUCUGUCUGUAUUAGGGCUUGAUUGUGGAAAAGGAGGCUUUGAAUGAUCAGGGUCUUGUUCGAGGAGAUCUACUGUGAGGAUCACGUGUUCAUAAUCUGCUUUUAUUAUUUAGGUUCUGUUUGGCUCUACAGACUUCAGCUGUCUGGUACGGGACAAGAAUUGCCUUGAACGUGCUCGGGAAUUAUUAUUUGGUCGUCAUAUUUGCGUAUAUAUAAAUAUUUGACAUAUACAAUGGAUAUAAUAUUCCCAUAUCAUUAUUUAUGUUAUGGAUGUAAGAGUUUUUUUUCCCCUUUAUAUGUAGCAGUGUAUAUUGUUGUGAAAGUUUGUUCCCCGCCAUUUUUUCUAUUAUUUCUUGUAUGAUAUUUAUCGUCCAUUGAUGUCUGAAAAUUUUAUCUGGGUUUUGAUAAGUUUGUCGUUCGUGUUCUUUGAUUUAUUUUUCUGCUCUUGCUGGUUAGAAUUUGCAAACUUCUGUUCAAUUUAUAUAUUAUAUCGCAGGAAAACCUUGUAUCUUUUCCUUUGUUUUUAAUUAUCUUAGAUUGUUUUUAAUCUUUUUCCUUUUGGGUUUCUUGAGCAGGAACAAUGUCUUUUACACAAACUUACAGAGCGCAAGGAGGCACUUUUCAUGAUAAUUAUAGACCCUCUUUCAUUAGAAACAAAAACAGCAACAGUGCUAACAUUAAUGAUAACCGUAUAAGGAGUUAUAAUCCCCAUGACUUCUCAAGAAAUUUUAGGGAGCGCUCUAAGAAUUAUAAUUAUGUUAAUCAUGAUGCCGCACCCUCCUUGAAAAGGAGAAAAUUUUCAGCUUCUGCUUGGGAAGACACUGGGAGGCGCUAUCAGCAACAAACCACAUAUGACAAUGCCCCUUCAACCUGCAACAGCUUGGUCCCUGCUCCUACAAGACCUAAUGCUAAUGCCUACACAUCUACCAGCUGUAAACGUGAUCGCUCAAAAUUGGAGGAUGAUGAUAUGGUCUUUAUGUCUAGGGAUGAGAUUGAAAGAUGCUCCCCUUCAAGGAAAGAUGGUAUUGAUGCACUUCGUGAAAUGCAUUUGCGGUAUUCAUAUUGUGCUUUUCUUCAGAAUCUUGGACUGCGGCUUGAGUUGUAAGUUCUUUAUGAUGCGUAUGUUUAUUUAUGCUGAUAACUUUCUGAUUAGAUUGUUUGCAUAAUUACUAAAUGGUUCUAAAAACUAUUAGUUGAAGUUAUUUAGUUUAGUUAUUCAUAUAUUCUAAUUUUGGAACUACUUAUCAAAAAAAAAAAAAUUCUAAUUUAACUGUGUUGUGUAUCUUUCAGGCCUCAAACUACUAUUGGAACUGCCAUGGUUUUAUGCCACCGCUUUUUUGUUCGACGUUCGCAUGCUUGCCAUGAUAGAUUUGUAAGUUUCCAGCUUCUUAUGUUUUAAAUUUGAUGGGAUGUGUAUGGUUUAUUGAAUGAUACUCAACAAGAACUCACAAUGACCAUGCUCUUACUUAUUUGUUUGCAAUCCUUGUUCAAUUUACUCAUUGGAUAUUUUUUUUUUCACAUGGAACAAUAAAAUUUGGCAUGGAACUACUUUUUGUUUCUGCUUUAGUUUUGUGGUCUGAUCCCUGUGCCUUAUUGUUUAUGUAUUAUGUAAACCAUAACCUAAGAAAACAAUCAUUUUCUCCCUCCACAGAUAUAAUGCUUAAAAUUAAAUAUGGAAAAACUAGUCACCUUUUCUUUCACCAUUCUUGAUUUUUUUUUUUCAAUUUGGUUUCUAGUCAUUGUCAUUGGCAAAACAACUACCUUCUGUGCCUUGAUGUGACUUUAUGAAUGCAGUGUGUUAAUCUAAUUUACAGUCCGUAAUUCAGAGGAAUAGCGUUAUUACUGAUCUGGCUUUGUUUGCAGUUGAUUGCUACUGCUUCCCUUUUUCUUGCUGCAAAGUCCGAGGAAACACAGCGCCCUUUGAACAAUGUAGUGAGAGCAUCUUGUGAAAUUCUCCAUAAGCUGGACCUUACUUUCUUGUCUUAUCUGCUCCCUGUUGUAAGUAUCUUUGGAACCAUUUUCUUUCACCUGUAGUCUUAUGCAUAUACAUAUACAUAGAUAUAAAACUAAAUAGCUUUGUACUUAUCAAAAAAAAAAAAACUAAAUAGCUUUGUAUGGACUGAAAGAAUUUCUAUUAUAUCAUCUUUUUUGUCUUAACUUUGUUAUGUCUUUUUCUUUACUUCUAGUAUUUUUUUCUCUUCCUUUGGAUGUUGAUAUUUGAUGGUAUAUUUCCCAUGUAUAUUGGUGCAUCUCUUUUGGCAUUUUUUUUAAUGCAUAUACUUGGCUUUCAAAAAAGGAUGUUAUAUGUUGUAAUCAAUUUAAACAGUAAGCUCCUGCAUCGCAUGCAAUUUUAGACUUUAAGUUUUAUAGAGAUUCAAGUGUUUGCAUUUUAUUGCUUUUAUGAAUAUGCAUAAUCCAUGUCCAUGUCUUUUGUCCAGCAUGGAUAUGCAUCCGAAUCCAGAUUGUUGGCUUAAAAGUUGGGACUAAAGCUCUUAGUUUGUGUUCAUAGUGUGCUUUCAUGACAUGAUUUGGAUGUUGAACAGGACUGGUUUGAGCAGUAUCGGGAACGGGUGAUUGAGGCUGAGCAGAUGAUACUGACUACUCUAGAUUUUGAGCUCACUGUGGAGCAUCCAUAUGUUCCUCUUACAUCUGUUCUUAACAAAUUAGGUCUUUCACAAACUGUUUUGGUGAAUUUGGCAUUACACUUGGUCAGUGAAGGGUAAGUAUGCUGCUAUCCUUAUUCUCAAUGUGUUCUUUUAGUGGAUUCUGAGAUUGCAGAUGCAUUGUUUUCUGUAUCAGUGAUUUCAAUAGGGUUAGUGGCAAAAUUAGUUAGCAGAAUCUAGCACAUACUUCCCCUGAUUGUGUACAACAUGAAUCCUUUCCACAUAUCUUACACAGUUAUAGUGGCCAUGUUCUGUUCAGGUACUUUUCUAAUGCGGGCUACUUGUAUUUAGUUCCUAUUUCCAAAGAAUGUGGUUAAAACUAGGAAGAUAGUGUAGGAAUUAGGUAGCAUUCUUGUGUUUAUGAUGAUCAAUCUUUUUUUAUAGAUUUGGACUGGUUGGUGUUGGAAUCUCAAUCAAAUUGCAAAUUUAUUGAGAUUUAAAGGCAGUUAUUAAUGUGGAGGAGGAUAAAUCGGUUAUCUUCUUUGUCCUUGGUUCAAAACUGUGUAUUACUUGUGUCAGUGUUUUGUUCUUUAGAGCUCUGCAUAGUCAUUCUGGAAUGGGAUAUUGAUUAUUUUGGCAUGGCAUAUAAUUGCAGGAUCUACACAAGAUUAGCGUGCUCGCAUCUAUGAUAUUCUUAGCUGGCGGAUUGAUAUGCUGUUCAUGGAAAGUUUUGUUUAUCUGAAGUUGAACUGCUGAUGUGUAGUGGAUGCCUUUAUCAUGAAUUUACUCUGAACCUGGUCACUGGCUAUUGAAGAUAGCCACAAACCCUCAGGACAGUUUUACCAUCCUAAUAUACACCCUUCCUCUUAACAAACUUAUAGUUUGUGAAACCAAUGGCCACUUGUCUACUUAAUGUCCAUUCCUGCAAGUCUGGGAGUCGCCUUGAAUGGGCUUAAAAAAAAAAAAAAAGAAAAGAAAAAUUGGUUUGGGUGAGUUUGGUUUUGAGAAUAUAAAAUGUUUUCCAAUUUUAAAAAAUGGUAGAAAUUUGGUGACAAAUGUUGAAAACUGUUUCAAAAUUUUCGAAAAAAACAGCCUGUUUUCUGGAAGUCUUCCACAUUUUCUUCUUUCUUUGUCUCUCAUUUGUCCCAUUGUUUGUUUAAGAACAGAAACAACUCAAGUUGACUGAUUCCCAAAAGUUUCAAUAGUUUCCAUUCUCAGAAAAGGAAUCACUUUUGAAAACGUUUUUCAAUUAGAUGGGUGCAUAUUUCUAUCCUCGUUCUUUAUGUGAUUUUUAUUGCUGACCCACUUGGACAAGGAAUAUGGUCGGAUAUCUAGGGAGAUUUUCUAGUUUAGCUAAGGCUUGUUUCUGAAAUACCCAAAAAUUUUGAAUUGUUAUUUUGCUUCAAAUCCUACCUUGAUUUUGUAACUUUGCAUAUCCCAAAUAUUUGGAAUUUUCUGUUGGGUUUUAAUUAGGACUAACUGUGUCCAUGAAUUAGCAUUAAAAAUUUAAAUCCUUGGUCCAGGAGUUGCUGUUAGACAUAGGAGUGUCUGCAAUUCAGAAACUGCCAGAGUUGAGCACUAUUAUCUUUGCUAAUUUUGGUUUUGUUGCCUUGUCUGGAAAUGAAACUAGUGGCCCUAAAAAGUUGAUGUGCUGGUGGACAUUAGGGAUAGCCUUUCUUUUUUUGAUAAGUAAGCAAAGAGAAUAUAUUAUUUAUAAUUAAUAGAUGCACAGUGGACAACUUAGAUAGCUUCUCUAGAACUAUUUUUGAGUUGGCUGCAAGAAACCUUUUCUGUUGCUUACUUUUUAUUGAGGAGAAAUCUACUACUAUAACAUCAUUACUGAAAAUUCUAGAUCUACCUAUCCUACAAGAUGUGUUUUCUUUUGUGCUUAAUUUAAUUGGGUAUUUUUUAUUAGGGAUGUGAGCCCUAACCAAUUAUAUGAAGACUGGUGGGAAAUUAUGGGUAGCAGUUGCCAUUUAGAUUGAGUGGCCUGUAGACCAUUUAAGUGAUGUAUAGUGAUGAUCUUUAUCUUUAUCCACAUUACUAGGUUGCACUUCUUUAGUUCUUUUUCUCUUUUAAAUAUAUUCCUUUAUACCAAUUUUUCACUGGUAUUUCUUCUUUCAGUUUCCUCAUAUUGCUUUUCCUCCUCCCCACGCUAAACAAUCUCGACAAUAUAAGUUUUUGUGGAUAAGCCAUAAGAUUUAUUCUGUCAUUUUUCAACUUUAUUGGUUCUUUCCAGCCUUCUGUUGGUAUCAUAGAAUGGGUAAGAAAGAGUAAGUAAAGGAUGUGUCUCUAUGUUAUAUUUUUGCUGUCGGCUUUGCUUGGCCUUUAUGCUCUGGCAGCUGGAUUACCUUUUUGGUACCUAAUCCCUGGAUGUUUCCUAAGCAGUUAUUGCGACCAUACAUGGCAAUACCUGCAAACCUUAUUUUACAAGUCUACUGAUUAUUACUGCUUUCUCCUUAUUCUGAUUAGUAUUUCAGUAUUUAUGUUGAAAGAAUAAAAAAGUGCCGGACCUUUUUUACUGGGAAUUUGUUGCUAUACCUAUCCCUACCCUUUUUUAUAAGUAAAUUUUAAACUAUUUUUUUCCUUUUUCUUUUCUAUAAUUUAUUUGUGUAUAUGUUUAUUUUCAUGGAUAAACAUUAUGUGCUUAUUACUAUAAAUUUUUUAAAUGUCUAAGCUUCACUUUUGGUACUACCUGGGCUCCUAUUCUGUGUGUUCUUUCCCUUCCCCUCUUAACUAAGAUAAUACUUUGGAAAAUGUACACUUGUUCAAUUCAUUUGGAACUAAAUGAAAAUGAACAUUAUAUUUGAUAUAAUCUCUCGUACGAUAUGUACUUGUAUUUUGUAAAUUGUACUUAACGGCUCAUAAAUCAUGAUACUAUUGCAUCUAUAGCCAUGUUGCAAAAUGUGCUAUAAGUUUGUUAACCUUAGGCAAUCAACAUUUACUUAUAGAGCUUAAAACACAAAGUGGACUAUGAAGGAUUGAAGUCCAAUAGGCUAACACAUAAUAUGGCAUUAUGUAUUGCAAAAUUUGAAUAGCCAGGAGCACGUUAUGCCAAAAAACCCAAAAGAACAGUAAGCACUAAAUUCGUACUGUACUUACAAGUAUAUCAUUUGUUUUAUUUGUUGUAGCCAGUGCAUCUCUCAAACUUACCUUGACAAUCUUCAUCUUUAUUCUUUUGGUUUUCAAUGUCAGUUAUGUUCUUACCAUUAUUAUCUGCUCCUACCACCAGUGCCUCGUGGUCAUGAGGGCCUUUUUGUUUUUGUUUGUUUGUUUUAAGGAAAAGAAAAGAAAAGAAAAACAAAAAAAAAGCAACUACUGAACUUCUAAAGCCUGUAUGUAUUGAGAAGUUUUCUUCUUCCACUUUUUUUUUUCUUCUCAUUUUGUUCCUUUGUUUUUUUCUUUUCUCUCUCUUUGUUUUUUUCUUUUUUUGUCAUUUUUUGGUUAACAGGUUAAAUGUCAUUUUCUUUGUUCAUACUAGCAUGCUGAAUAUGGAAGUCAUAUUUGCCCUCCACAUAUUCGCAUCCCUCAAAACAAUCUUAAGUUAUAUAUCAUUAUAUUAUAUUCAGCAUAGUGUAGCUUCACAUUUUUAUUUCACAUGUGUCAUGCAUGUGUUUACCAAGUCUGACCUCCAGCUAUGGUUUUUGGGUACGGGACUGUCUGUCUUUGGGAUGUUGAGAUUUGAGUCCUGAAGGGUUGCAACAUAUUAAGCACCUCAUCAUAUGCGGCAUCAUCAGCAUCAUUUUAUUUAACCUGAAGCUCUUAUUAUUUCUGAGUGGUAUCCUUUUGGAUUUUCAAAGAAAAUCCCUAUUAAUCCUCCUCGCUUGGAAGGAUGCUUGUAUGAAAAGCUAGGGUUGGUUUGAGUGGAUUCCUUCCAUGCUUCUCAAGCAAAUAUUCAGAAAACCACCUACAUUGACACUGAGAACUUUCUGAUGCAUGUUACCAAUGCAAUCUUUUAGUAUCCUAAAAGAGUAACUUACAGGAGUAUAAUGGUGCUUACAACUUAGAGCAUUGAUUUUAUGCCUGCUUAUGGCUUCUGGUGGUCUUUGGUGGCAUGCUAUUCUAUAGUGGGGAUUACGUACAUGAAUGUCUUUUAGCUUGAAAGCAUGCAUAUCAGCAAAGUCUCUGCAGAUUGAACUGUUGGGUGGACGAUACUGGCAUUUGCCUUUCAAGAAGUGUUUGCUUGCAAUGAAUUCCUCUUUCCUAGUUGCUUUAUCUUUUGAAUUGCAUGUGUUUCUGGAGUUGGGAAUACCCUGCAGCAGAACUGGGCCUGGGAGUUGAUGUGUUCUCUAGAUGGGUAUAAGAUGUUUGCUAGUAUUUUGGUACUGUUAUCAGCAAUAUCUGCAGACGAAUCUUGGAAAAUAUUCCACCUGGGUUGCUGCAUUUUUAGUUGGUAAGAAGAAAAAAAUGCUUUGCUUGCUUUCUUUACUUGAAACCAAUGUUUGAUAUGUUGUCUUAGCUUUUUGGUUUUAUGCUCUAUACCUAUGUUUAGUAUUUGAAAGCUGAUGUGAUUUGUGUUGGCAUUAUGCUAAGUUCUACAAGACAUUGCCUGUUCAUUUUAGUGUUGCCCGAGAUGGUUGGUUUGUUAACUAUCCAUGGAUUUCUCCAACUCUGAAUAAUAGGUUUAUUUAUUUUCAUAUGGCCUUCUAAAGUCAAACCAAUGUUUUGCAGGCUGCGAAGCUCUCUGUGGCUUCAGUUCAAACCACAUCAUAUUGCUGCGGGGGCAGCCUACCUUGCUGCCAAGAUCCUAAAUUUGGAUGUUGCUUCUUACCAGUAUAUCUGGCAGGAGUUCCAAACAACGCCAGCUAUUCUUCAAGGUAGUUGGCACUAUUUUGAAUAUCAUGUGAAUGUUCAAGAUUUUACGUUAAUUUUAUAUUUGCCAAUAGUCUUGGUUCUUAGUAUUUUAUUAUGAACCUCAUUGCAUUGCUCCCACCUUUUUAACAGUCUGUUGAUCCUUUGAUGCAGAUGUUGCGCAGCAGUUGAUGGAGCUAUUUUAGUUUCUACGCAGAUUCAGUUCACCAGUUGAUUGAGCUCUUUUAAAAGAUUACACAGUAGACUAGGCUUCAGGAAUGAAUGUUUCAUGUUAGAUAUGGGUAUUAUAUUCAUUGUUUUUUAAUGCCGUGUUUGUAACCAAUGAUUGGAAAAUCAUCAGUGUUGUCCAGGUUAUAACAUGAGAGAAGCGCUAUUCAUGAGAGAGAGAGAGUAGUAGAUUAGAUAUCUUUGUUUCAGCACUUCCUCUAGAAGUACAGGUCCAAAGAGUGUAAUUCGAAUAGACAGGCAUGAACUUUCUGUUGAGUGGUCAUCUAAUGGAAUAACAAAACUCUUCUGUUUCUCAUGGCCGUCUGUUUUUUCUACUGCUCAUCCUUUCUUGUUCUAAAUAAGAUCACGGGUCUAAGGUGUCUAUUUGCUUUUGAGUAUGUGAUUCUGAGGAAGGUUAGAAGUGCUUUUAAAUGUUUUGAAGUCCUUUUUUUUUCAACAAAAAUCUGGAGUAGUACCUGCUUAUGUGCUUUUUUUAGAAGUUACUUUUCUAGUAUUACUAAUAAAAGCAAUACUGAAAUCUCUAUUGAAGCAUUACUAAUAGAUGUAAUAGUACUGGCUUCGGAGGUUGAAUCUCGUGGGUGGGUGGGUGGGUGGGUGGGUGGGGUGCGGUGUGGUGAGGAGAGAGGGAUUCAAUUGUUGUACAAUACUUUGAGCCGAAGCUUAUAGAGAAAAUGCUAGUUUNNNNNNNNNNNNNNNNNNNNNNNNNNNNNNNNNNNNNNNNNNNNNNNNNNNNNNNNNNNNNNNNNNNNNNNNNNNNNNNNNNNNNNNNNNNNNNNNNNNNGGGGGGGGGGGGGGGGGGGUUGGGGGGGUGAGUGGGGUUUGAAAAUCUUUAUGCAUGAUCUGUUUUUCAAUUACACAUUUCUUUUUUUAUUUUUGUUAGCUUUUAUGAGUUUUUUCAUUUGAAAAAUAAGGGUAUGUUUGGUAACUGAUUUUUGGAAUAGUUUUUUAGUUUUUAUAACAGAAAAACAAGAAAACCCAUUUGAUAAUCAUAAAUUGUUUUUUAUUCUCAAGAAUAGGAAAUAUGAUAUUUUUAUAUAUGCAUUUUUAAUUGUUUAAUAUUAUUUAUAAAUUUACCCUUAUUUAUUUGGUUACGUGUAUAAUAUUUUCAUCCAUCAAAACUAAUAUCGGCCUAUAAAAAUGGCACAAUGUUGAUAUUUAAGAAAAUUGUUUGAUUUUAAACCCCAAUUCUUUUUGGCACACCCUAAAAUGAAAGUGUAUAAUUUUACUGUUUUCGGCUCUAUUUCCUUUUAUAAGAAGUUUUGGAAAGGAAAAUGGACAGAAUCCGCCCAUGGUGCUUUUAUUGCUUUAAAAAAAUAUAUGAAAAUAUUGUUUCUUUAAAAGGGAUGCCAUUGGUUAUGACCAUUUUCUAUUCAUAGAAAAUACAAGUGUUGACAAUCAGCCUGACAAAUAUUGAAUAUGAGGUUAAUUUCAGAAAAUUGUUUAACCUAUAUAUUUAAAAUAUCCCAAAAAAUAAAUUUUAUAAAUAUAAUAAAUUUAUAUAAAUUCUAAUAGAUGAAAUUCAAAAUUAAUAAUAAUUAGAUGUAUUCACGUUCGAGUUUGAAUAAAAUUAAUCUUAAAAUUAAAAUUUUUCUUGGGUAGGUAUAAAAAGGGUAUCAUGGUAUCGUGUUGGGAUUGGUUUUUUUGUUUCUAGGUCAUCUCGAAAGGGAGAAAGAAAGAAGUAAACAAGCCUUCCUAUUGUGGGAUGGUCAAAGAACGUGGCGCUGUCAAAGAGCACUACAGCAUCCCAUCGGUAGCUCCAGAAUUCAAACAGAGUUUUUGUCAUAAUAAUAAUGUAAUUAAUGGUUUUAAUGAUAAAGAUAACUACAUAUCCAAAUCACUGAAAACGCCAAAUAAGGAGACGCCUAUCUCAACCAUAUAUGCCAUGAUCUUCCUUGGCUAGCGUGCCAAUCCAUUUCCUUCUCUCUCUAAAUUUCCCGAGACACAAACAGAGGCGUGUGCGCCUUGCUUCACUUCACUACCAACCAAGAGAUCGUCUUUCCCGGAUAAUUCCAUGGAGUCUGCACCACAACGUCGCCUGACGGCUAUACAGACACAACUCAUCGCCACCGCCGGCGACGACCGCUCGCAUUCACAGCUCCUUACCAAUCAAACCGCCGGCGAGUUCGUUUCCGGUAAUAUCCCGGUUUCUCCAUUUAGAUUUCUCUUUCUGUGUCUCGAGUUGUUGCUUCUAUAUGUGAAGGUCCGCUUUAUAUGCCAUGUUUGGUGAAUAGUACGUUAUGUUGUCUCCAGUGAUGCUAUUGGUUUGGUAUAAUGCUAGGGUUUUAGGGGUGGGUCAAUCCUGAUCUCAUUGGUUGGGUCGUGCGUAUGAAAAACUAGUACUGUAGAUAUUGGUAAUCAUUGGUUGGGCUAUGGCGACUAUUUUAGAGUUUUUGGGAACCGAUUGAACCAAGAUUGAUGUUAUUGGGGGGAGGGCAGGACGAAUGCGUGGCUGGAAGAGAAAAAGUUAGGGGCAAUAAUAGAUGGAGCACUUCACUUUUCCCUGAUAGGCUAAGGGGCAACUUUGCCUUUAUGGUGGGAUGUUCUUAUGUCUUAUAUUUUGUUCAGGGAGGUAAAAUGCGGGGUUUUCGUAGUGUACUCAUCUUUUGUAACUCGAUUAGGGCUUAUUUGACAUAUUUGACUAUUACAGGAUUGGACUCCAUCUUUACCUUUCUUUGGGUAAUCCUCCACCAUAGGAAAAGUAACUUCUUAGGAACGGUACACUCUAAAGCAGGAGAGUUUGUUUAUUGGUUCACUCUCUCUUGUGUACGGUAGAGAUGAUGACAACUGAGGGGGACAAAUGUAAAAUAUAUGACAAGAACAUGUUGUGUUAGAGGGAUUAAUAUAAUUCGUAAGGAGUCUAAUGUGAAAUUUGCAAUAUUAAGAGGUUUUGGUGGUUGAUUCUCCAUAGCUUUUAGUUAGGUAUUACAAGGACCUAUAGAAAUCUGUUACCACAUGAAUUUUAUCUCGAGGGUUAAGUCUUCAUUAUAGUGUAGUCUGUUACCAUUUAUUGUUUUCUUGUUAGUAGAUGGUCGAGUUGGAAGGCAGGGUUCUCAAUGAAAAAGAAAUGGAUACCUUUACUCUUAGACAUAUCUUAUCUUUUUUUUCAUUGUAAUGUUUUAGAUUGGAACAGACCAUUCCUUGUGCAAUGACAACAAUAAUGCCUUGGGCUGGCAGUCAUCAAUAGGGGGGCUUUGAGUCUCAAAAAUGGCCUCCUUGUGCAACACUGCUAGAGUUGGGAUCAUAUCCAACUCGCCUUUCCCAAUCACCACUUAAUGGCCCUUUAUGUUUUAGAUUAGAUGUUAUAUGUUCAUAAUGAUGGUAAACAACCAUUUCCUCAAUAUGUUUGGGCAUAACUUAGGGUACUUCUUCUGGAUCUGUGGUUCAUGAAGUUAAGUGGAGAUCUACCAGUGAGAAAUGAUGUGUUGGGGAAGUUGCAGAUACUGGUAGAUCCUUUAAUAUGAUCAUACAAAUGGACUUUAGUGAACGUUUCAGGGAAUUGGGUCUUACAGGGAUACAUGAGGGUGAAUAAGUCUUGUACUGGUCACUGUUACAGGGGAGUGGCAGUUUUUCUUCAUAUUCCUCAGCACAUUGCAUGGGAAUGGGAAAGAGUGAAAUCGGGAACUUAGGAUAAAUUGUCUGCAUUUGAUUAACUUCUUUUUCUGACAUCCUUCAUUCUUUAUUUUUAAUUUUUAAUAACUUUAGAUUGACUUCUUUAUCUGGGUCCAUUUGGGAGUUAUUCUUCAAGGGUUAGAAGCGCUCCCUAAUGUUUGGAAGCAUUUUCUUUACAAAAAUUAUGUGUUUGGCAAAAAUUUAAUUCAAUUUUUUUUUAUGUGUAAAAUGAGAGUAUUGUAUAAAAAGAGUGUGAAAAUGAGUGCAGCGAAGUACAUUAGACAUAUAUAAUGAUCAUCAAAAAGCGUAAACAAAAAGUAAAAGGGACAAUAAAAACUACUUCCUCACUUAAUAAAAAUCCAACCAAUCAACAAAGUCAAUUAAGAACAUUGGGCCUUCAUCUAUAGACAACUUGGUCCAAGAUAGCAAAUUACAAAAAAAAAAAAAAAAAGCUUUUUAGCCUUUGGUAAGAAAGUUCUCUGUUUUUAAACAAUCUUCUAUUCGUCUCCUUUUAAUUUUUCUAAAAAAGGCACAAAUGAGUUGCUUCCCACACUUUUUUUAGUUUCUUCACAACAAAGGAACCAUACCAUCUUAAGAAGGCCUUUCUAAUGAAGGAAGAUAACACCUAAGACACGUCAAAAAGAGAAAAUAAUAGCUGCCGCAAAACCUUCGUCUUGCCACAAUGAAGAAGGAUGUGAUCAAUUGAUUCCUCAUAGAUAUCGCAAAGGAAACAUUUAUUAGCCAAUGUCCAACCUCUUCUUUGAAGUUCAUCCAAGGUCAAAAUUUUUUCCACAAAGACAAAGAAAAUAAGGAAGCUAGAUAAAGUGCUCUGGAUUAGAGUGAGUCUUAUCUUUUGCAAAUAUAUUGCCUUUUCCACAUUGCCAAUCUUUUACAAACCUCAAUUCCUCCUUAUUCCAAAUUGCAAGUAUUAUAAGGGCACCUAAGGAAAGAAGAGGUUGGACAUUGACUAAUAGAGGUUGGACAUAGGCCGCGAGUAUUAGCUAAUGACCUUCUUCCAUUUGCAUUAGCCGUUUUGAGAAAGAAAUUAGUAUUUCUAUCGCCUUCCUUUAACCAUGCCUCCCUUGAUUUCUACCUCUAAGAAGUUUCUUGCAUAAGAGCCCAUUUACGAUACUCCGCCCUUGCUUCCAACCUCGCAUCCACCUCUUCUUGAGAUAAAGCACUUGUUCUCCCCUUAGAAUCCUAGAAACCCACUUAGGGAAGAACCAAUUCCUUUCUAACUAUAACAUUACCAAAAUCCUCUUUGUUGCAACUUUUCAAAUUAGACUUUAAAGCGUUCAAUUUCAUUGCCAAGAUGAAACUAUAAGGUCCCCCUUAAAGCUGAACCCCAACCACCAUCUCUUUAGAAUAUCUUUGAAAGCCCUUUUCCUUAAGCCACAUAUUUUGAAUCUAAAUGGAGCAAAACUUCUCCUCAACUCUAUCUCCAUCUAACAAAAUGGGGCGAAUGAUCCAAUACAGGUUUGGGUAAGAUNNNNNNNNNNNNNNNNNNNNNNNNNNNNNNNNNNNNNNNNNNNNNNNNNNNNNNNNNNNNNNNNNNNNNNNNNNNNNNNNNNNNNNNNNNNNNNNNNNNNCCCCCACCCCCCUUUUUUUAGAAUUUUUUUGAAACCCCUUUUUCUUUACCCCAAUUUUUGGAAUUUAAAAGGGACAAAAUUUUCUCUUAAUUUUUUUCCCCUUUAAAAAAAAGGGGGGAAAGGUCCCAACCCGGUUUGGGUAAAAAUAUUUCCCCCCCCCCCAUAAAAAGACCUUCCCCCCUUUUUAACCCCAAAAAGGGGUUUUAUUUUUUUUGGGGUUUAUUUUUUAAACCACACAACCCCCCCCCCCCCCCCCCGGCAACACACACCCCCCAAAUAAAAGGGCCUUGAAGACAACCUACUGACUUUAUUGCUCUUCCUUGGAAAUUUGACAAUCUUAAAAUCUUUUGCAAUGCACCAAUGGUCAUUCUACAAUUCCCUAAUCAACCCAAACUUAGCCCCGAAGGCCGCUUUAUCCUUCCUUAGAGAUGGACCAUACAUCCUUGUGAAAAUCCAAAAAACAGUCAUCACAAUUUUUAAAAUGACCCGAUAUCGAGCACUCACCAUCUUCCAUGCAAACCAUUUGUAACACCCUAUUGUCCCAAAAACCAAGACCCUGCUUGUAGCACCCAUUGAGUUCACUACACCCUAAUCCAAGAAUCUUCCCAUUCCUGAGCUUUGCACCAAGCUAGUUGACGUAUUUUGGAUUGUUUCCUAUAAACAGACCAAGUAUGCUCUCUGCAAUUUAGUCAAAGACUUUAUAAUCAUCCUUUUAGCAUUGUCAUUAGCCUAUUUCACAUUCCAAUAUAAAAUUUUUAAUUUCAUUUGUGACUUGAUGAGAUAACCCAAUCUUCUCUACUCAAUCAUUCCUUUGUUCCUGCUCCAUUCUAGUUCAUUAAACACUCUAGCUUCUUAAGCUCUCUUUCAAAUCUUGAAAAUACAAAUUUAUUUCUUCUUCUAUGAUACACUCAAUACCCUUAUAAAUGUAUUGUAUGUCCCCGAUAUGAAUAAAAAUUUGGUUAGUGGGGAUUUGCUUGGCAAACCGGGUAUCAAAGUGGCGUUUGAAUCCGGUAAGCUAAUUUUAUCCAAAUCGGGGAACUUUGUGGGAAAGGGGUAUUCUUGUGAUGGGAUGAUCAAACUUUGUACCAAUGACAAUAUCAAUAAAAUGACGUCUACUUCCGCUUAUAUGUGUGAUUCAAAUUCUUUAUUUUUGUGGCAUAAUAGGCUUGCACAUGUUGGUUUAAGCACUAUUAAAAGGAUUGUGAAAUGUGGUUUGAUUGCUUGUGAUACCAAGAAAUUUGAAAAGUGUGAAAUAUGUGUUAAAUCAAAGAUGAUUAAAAAGCCUUUUCAUAGUGUUGAGAGAUCAUCUAAUUUGUUUGAUUUAAUACAUAGUGAUCUUUGUGAACUUAAUGGCAUGUUAACAAGAGGUAGAGUUCUUUGAGAAUUUGUUGAGUGAUAGCAAUUCUCAAGUACCUACUAGUGUUGGAGAGUCUCUAGAGGAGACACCUUCAAAGGUUGUUGAGCAACCCAUUGUGCCUUGGAAAAGCCAAAGAGCUAGAAAAGAGAAAGUGUUGGGAUCGGAUGAGAUUGACUCUCAAAGCAAACCUAAUCCAAGAAGAAAAACCUUUGCUUCUCUUCAAGAUUUUUCCUAUCAGCUUCCUUCAAUCUCCUCUAUUGAGAUUUCAAAGGACUUGGAUUCCAUUGCAAACCAACUCCUACCUCCUCCCAUCAAAUUUUAAAAUUACUUCUAAAAAUCUAGAGAAUCACUUGAAAUAAUAUUUGAAUUAGCAUAAUGUAAGUGCUUCUUCCAAAAUCACUUUUUUUGUUAUGUAUUCCACUACCAGAAACACUUUGAAAACACUUUUUGGUUUAUAUCCAAACCUUAACUAAUUUUCUAUAGAAGUGUUUUUGAUAGAAAUGUUACCUGUAGAAGUGUUGUCUACCAACAUAAGUGUUAAGGCUAAAAGCGCUUUUAUGAGAAUCAGUGCCAAAAAAGCCUUGAUGUUAUUUAACAGUUCACUUUUCAUAGGCUUAUGGUUAUGUAAGUCAAGCAGUUUAGCAGUUGGAGUGCUUUAUGGGAAAUGAUAUAAACAGCAUGGAGUGUAUAUUUUGUUCAUUGUUUCCUUAGUCAGUGGUCUAGCCUGCUUUAGAUUCAUGAAGGGGCUUAAUUAUGAACGUUAUGAAGUGAUUUUGUUGUUAAUUACUUUUCAAUUUUUGCUGCUAUACCUGAGAAGUUAUCAGAGAUUUUUUCUGUUUCUGGGUGAGAAUCUUUUUUACAGUAAUGCACUGUUUGCCUCUAUUGAUUAAUCAAUCCAUUUUAGUCCUGGCAGCUUUUUAGCUUUCCACUUUUUGUAUGCCAUUUGUUUCUCUUCAUGUUUAUGUUAUAUGUUCAUGCAUUAAUUUGCUGAAUUUGUGGCAUUAAUUCUGAGCAGAGCAGGGCUAUAGUGUGGUGCUUCCAGAGAAAUUGGAGACAGGAAAGUGGAAUGUCUACAGGUAGGAAUUUUCCUCUUUUGUUUUGUUUUGUGUUUUUUUCCCCCACUUGGUCAUUCAUUCUCAACUUGUUAAGAUUUCAUUUUCCUUGGCAGAUCUGCACAGUCUCCUUUGAGGCUUGUGAGUAGAUUCCCUGAUCAUCCUGAAAUUGGUACAUUGCAUGAUAAUUUUGUGUGAGUAUCGCUCUGUUUAUUUGGCUAAAUUACAACUGAGUUUUGUUACAAUUGUCAAUGCUAGUUUUUAUAUUUGACUGCCCAUGUAUUUUUUGCAUUUAGAAAAUUAUCUAAAUUAUUUCUUCCAACAUUUUGAGGAUAGGCACUCAGUUGAGACCUUCCGUGAUUACAAGUAUUUGGGUACACGAAUUCGAGUUGAUGGAACAGUUGGAGAGUAAGUUGCUCAUCUGAAUAACUUUGCUAUUUCAUCAUUGAAGUUCCCUUAUUCAUUUGCAUUCAUUGCCUACACUUUCAAGGUACAAAUGGAUGACAUAUGGAGAAGCAGGUACUGCUCGAUCAGCAAUUGGUUCUGGUUUAAUAUACUAUGGAAUACCGAAAGUGAGUUGUCCAAAUUCUAAAUUAAGUUUGAACAUUGUCAUGCACUCUUAAUUUUGUUCUUGGAUUGGACUUAUGUUUUUCUAAAAUGUUUUGUGAAAACAUCUACUCAAGAUUUUCAAAUCCAUUCUUUCUUAACAUUUGGUUAUCCAUUGAUUUUCCUUUUUUUUUUUUUAAAUUUUCUUUAAUGCUGUAACAGGGAUCUUGUGUUGGCCUAUAUUUUAUCAACAGACCUGAGUGGCUCAUUGUUGAUCAUGCCUGCUCUGCAUUUUCAUAUGUAUCAGUUCCUUUAUAUGACACUCUUGGUUCGUAAUUGGUUAUUGUAUAAAACUUUAUCGGACUUUUGCCUAGCUUGGCCAAACCACUGCUACAAAUCUACUAAAGCUUAACAAAGCCUUGAUAAUUGUUGCUCUGCAGGUCCAGAUGCUGUCAAGUAUAUUGUAAAUCACGCUGUCUUACAAGCUAUAUUUUGUGUGCCACAAACGUUAAACUCUGUGAGCUCAUUUUUCUUUUUUUUAUGGAUGUAUUUUAACAUUAAGAAAUGCAUAUUGAGCUCAGGGUCAAGUAUCAUUCAUGUCAUUAAGAAUUUGUCUUUCUAUUCUUAAUUCUGUUAGUCUAGGAAGUUGGUUAGAUCCUCGUCAAUUUCUACCUUGCUUACUGUAGCCACGUUGAAUGUGGAGUUGAUGAAUGAAUGAAAUAUGGAGCUAAUACUUAGAUCAUAUCAAGAACUAAAAAUCAUUCUUCUUAUUCUGCUUCACUAAUUGAUUAAUAUCAUAUGUUACUUCUUUGUUUCUUCUCAUGAGAAUCUGGUUUAUAAUUCUUAAUGUGCUUUGCUAUUUAUUUUUGUCUUCUUUCUUGGAAUUUGCAGUUGCUGAGCUUCUUGUCUGAGAUCCCAUCCGUACGUUUAAUAGUGGUAUAAAAGGCUAUAUCUGAUCUUUCUUAAUUGAAUGUCUGGAUAAGCUAACAUUGGCUUUAGUGCUAAUGUAUGGUUUUCAUGAAAGUUCGUUAUCUGCUUUCCUUUUUACACAGGUAGUUGGAGGAAUAGACGAUCAAAUGCCAUCACUUCCAUCAACAACUGGAGUUGAGGUUGUAUCAUAUUCAAAACUACUCAAUCAGGUAAUUGCAUGCUCCUUCUCUGUUCCUCUCCUGCCUCUUUGAUUGUUUGUUUGUUUUUCUCCUGUGGAGGGUUGGUCCUCUCCAUAUUGAACUCCUAUCCCUUGCCACCUACACAGGCCUCAGGAAUAUAAUGACAUGAUCUUUCCUUAAGACAAAUCCUUAAUGUUUUUCUGCAUCACUACAAUGAGAAUUGAUAUAGUAAAAAUCCUUCAUUCGAAAGGAGGAUUAUGGGGAAUGGGAUUAGGUUUUAUGUUGUGAUUUGGUAAUUUUGUUGUUAUUGUGUUAUCCUUUGCUGUUUAAGGGAGCAUUUGGAUUAGGUUUAUGCUGUGAUUUGGUAAUUUGUUGUUGUUUUAUUGUCCUUUGUCAUUUAAGAAGGCAUAAAGUGUAAUAUUUCCAUUUUCACCUGCAUCUUUCCAUCACAGAUGAUUUUGUAAUUUCAUGUGAUUAUCCUUUGUUUAUUUGCUGGUAGUGAUGUAUGAAUAUAUGUAUGUGGCAUUAGUUUCUUGGAGCAUGGUGACAUCUCUAUGUUAUCGAAAGCUGCUUGAUGUUAUGCAUGAACUGAUGCCUUUAUUUUUAUUUUAUUUUAACCCUCAGUUCUUAAGCGUUGCAGCUUGUUUAACCCUAGUUGUUCUCUCUGUCUGGUAUAUUGAAUUCCAUUGCAUACAUGCACCCUCAUGACCCAAGUUCCUGUUAAUUGAUUUUGGAGAGUUGUGCAUACCUUGUGUCAAAAUGUCAUGUCAUGUUCAUACCACAAAUAAUAGCACUGGUUUUUUGGUUGAUUAUGAUCUUCAUGUCUCAUACUUCUAUUGAACAUAAGCUGCUCUUAGCCCAUCUAGGUAUCACAUUCUUUUACACUUCUUAUCAAUGUUCUGUUUCAAGAUUAUAUAAUGAUAUUGCAAAUCCUUUUUUUUUUUUUUUAAUUAUAAAUUAAAUUAAAUUAUUUUCUCACAGUAAUCUAAUGGUUUCCUUAUUUUACAAUGGUUCCUUUUAGGGUCGCAGUCGUCCCCAACCUUUUUGCCCCCCAAAGCCUGAUGAUGUUGCAACCAUUUGCUAUACAAGUGGUACAACUGGGACACCUAAGGUAUACUUUAGUUCCUGUGAACUUCAGUUUUCUGAUCAUGAAGCUCAAGUAUUCCCCAAGAAUGACAUGACUGUCUAUGUAAUUAAAUAAAGUUAUUUAUUUAUUUAUAUUUUUUGGUGACUAUGGUAAGGGAGCUGUACUGUCCCAUGGAAACUUGAUUGCUAAUGUUGCUGGGGCCACUCUUUCCGUCAAAUUUUACCCCUCAGAUGUGUGAGUCCUAUUAAUAUGCAAUUGUUGUGCAUUAUGUUCUGUCUUUCUGUCUUAUCUGAAUUACCUGUUAUUCUUUCAGUUACAUAUCAUAUCUUCCUUUGGCACACAUCUAUGAACGGGCCAACCAGGUCAUGACAGCAUAUUUUGGAGUUGCAGUUGGAUUCUACCAGGGAGUAAGAUACUUAACAUUUCUUAUUUAAUUCAAGUCUAUGAAAUUUACUAAAUUUUUUACCAUUCCAAUUCAUGGUGCAAUCUAAGCAAUUUCCAUUCCAAUUCUUGGUGCAAUCUAUGCAUCUCUGACCUGGGAAGUGAAGUGUAGACAUGUUUAUCUUGAUUUGACUUUAUCUGGUAUCCCUUUUCCCAACAACUUAGUCUGUUGGGGUAAGCUGGAAUCUGACUUGGUGUCAUAUCAAACUUCUGAUUCACUGAGGUCUUGGGUCAGACCUCUCCAAGAACCUUUGUUUGUUCCCUCAUUUGUUUAUCUGUUUGCAUGCCUGCCUCUCCAUGUGUGGGUGUAGGGGUGGCUGGGUUGUAGUGCCGUAGUGUCACCAUCAGCCUGUGUACCAAAGGAAAAAAAUAAGAAAAAGGAAAAGGAAAAAAUGUAAACAUAGAGAAGGGAGCGGAUUUUUCUAAGGUACUAUGCAAAAUAUAAUUCAUUAUGAUCAUAAUUUUGUUUCCAAAAGUGAAAGGAAGGUAUUCCCGACUUGGUGGUGGUUCAUUUGUUUGUCGUUCCUUAAAAUGUAUAAAGUUCAUUACUUCUCAAUGGAACACAAUGCUGUGAGUUCUUCCCUUUUUCUAUUCAUAUUCUUGCUAAAGUUGUUGAAAUGUGAUCGAUGUGAUAUAUCUGAUGUAGGAUAACAUAAGCACCCUUUUUCACGUAGAAGAGAAAUUGACUGAGAAAGGAGUUAGAUGAGAGAAGAAGAAAUUAGAUGAGAAAUUAUGAGAGGAGAAUGGCUAUAAGAAAGGUCUAGAUUCAGAAGAUAAAGGGAUGAGAUCAAUAGGUUGACGAGGAGAAUGAUCAUAAAUGAUCUCAAAUAUUUACCAAAUUGUUAUAGGCAAACUCUAUUGAUGGCAACAUCGAAUCCCAAUUACCUUGUUUCUCUCUGACAAGACUCUUAAGCAAGUCUUCUAAGCUACAUUUAACAACCUCACUUUGACCAUUGGUUUGAGGAUGACAAGCUAGGAGAAUUUCAUAUGUGCCAAAAAUUCUUUGAAGUGUAUUCCAAAAAUAAUUAACAAAUUUGAUAUCUUUAUCUGAUGCUAAUAAUUUGGUUAAACAUGAGGCUUCAAUUGUUUUACUACAAGGGAUAACAUGUGUUAUCUUAAAAAACCUGGCUACCACAACAAAAAUAGAAUUAUGCCCUUGAUUUGAUUUUGGUAACCCCAAGAACAAAAUCCAUACUAAUGUUGCUUUAAGGGGUGCUAUACCAAGGUGUCUACAAUGUAUUGUGUCUCUUCUUUGUCUUAGCUUGCUGACAAGUCAACACUAUGACUCAAUUUUGAUCAUUCUCAACUUGGAUCUCAAAUCUUCAAAGCUGGUUCUAGAAAGCACCUUGGUAAGGAUGCAUGUUGUUUGGAGAGCUCUUGGAGUGUAAACCAAUGAAAUUUUCCCAUUCUCUAUCUUCUCCUUAGUAAAAUGAUGAUCUAUUUCCACAUGCUUUGUCUAAUCAUGAUGAAUGGGGUUCUUAGCAAUACUUAUGGUAGCUUGAUUGUACAAAACAUCUUUAUAGAAUCUUUUACUAGAAUUUUCAGCUUGUUUGGGAGUCUUUUUAACCACAUUCCUUCACAGAUUCCAUGUGUCAUAGCUCUAAAUUCUGCUUCUACGCUGCCCUGAGCUACAACAAACUGUUUUUUGCUUUGCCAUGUAACCAAAUUCCCCCAUAUAUAGUUGCAAUUUCUUAAAGUUGAUCUUCUAUCAGUUAUGGAUCCAAUCCAAUUUGCAUUUGAAAAAACCUUAAUGUUUCUCUUUUGUGUUCUUUUGAAAAAGAGUCCCUUUCUUGGAGUCAUUUUGAAAUAUCUUAGAAUAUGAUACACAACUUUCAUAUGUUGCUUUGUUAGAUUGUUCAUGAAUUAGCUAAUACAUUGACUGUAAAAACAAUGUCUGGUCUUGUGUGUGAGAGAUUGAUGAGUUUGUCCACAAAUCUUUGACAUCUUCCUUUAUUCAUCGGUCUGGUUUGGUUUGGUUAGGCUAUCUAUAGGGCGUAGUUGUUGGUUUUUGUGUCUUCGCUUCUUUCUUUUUGGGUGUUUUGGUUGCUUUGUAUACAUCAUGUAUGCUUUCUUCUCUCUUUAAUACAUUUUUCACUUACCAAUAAAAAAAAAAUCCCCCUUUAUUCACCAUAGCACUUUGAUAGUUUCUAGUUUAGUAGUGUAGUCCAUAAGUGUGUUUGCAUGUUUACAAUCAAACAUCCCAAUCUCCUUUGGUAGUUUGGCCCAUUCAAUUUGUGUCCAAUAAUGAAAAGAGGAGCACCAUCUAAUCCUCCAUGUUGCUUGGAAUAGGAGCUUCUUGAGUGGAGUCCUUGGUGGCCAUUCCGUAUUUGGUCAUGAACACAUUGAAUGGUUUAAAUUCUGCUCUGAUACCAUGAAGAAAUUUGAGGGAGAAAAUAAUGUUUUUUUUUUUCAAAUUGAUUAUAGUAUAAGUAUUUAUACACGAUGUUACCCUUGAAAAGAAAUCUAAUCCCUGGUUUUUAGGAGAGAAUAUCUCACAAUUGUAAAUUCGCAUGAAUAAUGAAUAUCUCACAACUGUAUCUCAUAACUGUAAAUUCACAUGAAUAUCUCACAGUUGUAUCACUCAGUUGUAACACAGUUGGAAUCUCACAGCUGUAACACAACCAUCAAUUCCUAAUUAAUCCGAAUUUCCACACUAUUUAACUUCCAAAUCAAGAAAUCUCAAAUAAAGAUGAGAAAACUACAUAGCUUAUACCAUCUAAACAAGUAGCCAUCACAAAUUAUAGAAUCAACGUGAUCUCAACGAUGACCAUUUUGAAUUUAUCGGAAAAGGACAUCAAAAUCAAGACAAUUAAGGGCUUGUUUGCAAAUGUUUUCGAAAACAAUUGUUUAGAACAGUUCUCUAAUGUUUACUUAAACAAAAGUUUGUGUUAGGAAAUUGAGGCUAAUCCAAACUAUGGUAAUCAUCCUAAGAGGGGGGGGGGGGGGGGGGGAAAAAGGGGGAAGGGCCCUUUUUUCCCAAUUUUAACCAUGCAAAAAAAAAAAAAAAUUUUAUGCCAAAAUUUAAAAAAACCAAUUUCCUAUAAUUUAAAAAAAUUUGGGAAAAAAAGGGGGAAAAAGGAAAAUUUUUAGGGGUUUAAAAUUUUUUUACCAAAUCCCCCCCCCCCCAACCCCCAAAAAAAGGGGGGGUUCCCCAUUUUUGAAACUUCAACCAACCUUCCAACCCCUUUAAAAUUGGGUAAAGCUUUUAAUUCCCCCCCUUGGAAUUUUGGGCCCAACCCCCCUUUUACCUUUUUAAAAAUUUCCCCCCCCUUGAAAAACCCCCGAAGGAGACCCCCCCCCUUGGAAAAAUUCCUCUCAAAGGUAUACAAAGAUUGAUCUCACAAAAAUCCUAGUAAUAGAACUUUAGGCUCAAAGAUACAAGAAAAACUAGGAUUGAAUGGUGCACUCAAGAUAUGCAAGUUAUGAAACAAUGGUGUACUCAAAAACACUGUUCUAAGGCUCAAAUAUAUUCAAGAAUGAUUUGGGAAGGUUAAGCUUAUGAAACAAUGAAGAUUGGAGCCUUUUUAUAGAAGAAAAAAGUCAAACUAGCAGUUGGGGGUUCGACCGGUCGAGCUGAGGGUCGACCGGUCGAGCUGAGGGUCGACCGGUUGACUAGCCGUUAGGAAAAGUGACCGUUGGUCCUCAACCGGUUGAGGUUCAACCUUGACCGGGAAGAGAAGGCCACUGGGAGAGAAAGAAACUUUUUGGCCUCCUUUAACCGGUCCUCGACCGGACGAGCACAAUCGGUCGACCGGUUGAGCCAUUUUUUUGGCUCAACACUCAAUCUUUUUCAACUUAAAACCUUUUAACACAAGUUUGAAAAUCAUUUAACACAAGGUUUUAGUUGAAAACAUGAAAUCAUCAAAUUCUUAAGAUAUUUAAAACAAUAUUACUCUUAGAUGAUUUUGGUGCAUAAAUAAAGAAUGAAAUGCAUGAAAGUCUUAGUGCACCAACAACCUUACAAAGAGAUCUUAAGAAGUUUUGGUCUUGAAAAACUCUUCUCUUUGAGGUGGUCUUCUUCUUCAUGAUUUCUCCUUGACUUGAUUUGUCUUUGGAUUGCCACUUUGGAAGUCGUCUUGCCUAAUCACACUUAAAAUAUGAUCAUUAGUUCUAAACCUUGUUUUGUUAUCAUCAAAAUCAAGAUUAACCAAACCUUGAUUUCACAAUCUCUNNNNNNNNNNNNNNNNNNNNNNNNNNNNNNNNNNNNNNNNNNNNNNNNNNNNNNNNNNNNNNNNNNNNNNNNNNNNNNNNNNNNNNNNNNNNNNNNNNNNAAAACCUUUUAACACAAGUUUGAAAAUCAUUUAACACAAGGUUUUAGUUGAAAACAUGAAAUCAUCAAAUUCUUAAGAUAUUUAAAACAAUAUUACUCUUAGAUGAUUUUGGUGCAUAAAUAAAGAAUGAAAUGCAUGAAAGUCUUAGUGCACCAACAACCUUACAAAGAGAUCUUAAGAAGUUUUGGUCUUGAAAAACUCUUCUCUUUGAGGUGGUCUUCUUCUUCAUGAUUUCUCCUUGACUUGAUUUGUCUUUGGAUUGCCACUUUGGAAGUCGUCUUGCCUAAUCACACUUAAAAUAUGAUCAUUAGUUCUAAACCUUGUUUUGUUAUCAUCAAAAUCAAGAUUAACCAAACCUUGAUUUCACAAUCUCUCCCUUUUUUAUGAUGACAAAACCAAGGUUGCUAAAAAGCUCCCCCUCAAUAUAUGCUCCUUUGAAUUUAGAAAAUAUUCAAGUUUAGAAACUUCAAGGAGUAUAUUAAGGAUGCUCAAAAUGAUAUAAUUAAACAUAAAUAACAUAAAGAGCAAUUUAGCAAUUUGGCAAGACAUUAUUAUUAAAUAUGAUGCAUACAAAUAUAACCAAAAAAACACAUAACAUCAAUAUGAAUAGGAUUGCUAAAACAAUAUUUGAAAUAUCUUCCCAAGUUAGCAACCUACCAUUACUUCUCCCCCUUUUUGUCAUCAACAAAAAGUUUCAAUAAAACAUAUAAGGGGAAUCACAUGUUUAUCAAAAGUUUAAAAAAUAAACAAUAAGCAUGAUAUGAUUUCUCAUGAAAAUGAAUCUCCCCCUUUUUCAUUUGAGAAUAGUUUCCAAAUAAAAGAUUGCUCAUCUUUAGAGCAUUCCCAAUUUAAAGCAUGAUUUGGAAAAAUAUAUAUGGGAGAACAUAUGCAUUUAAAAAGAUAUAUAAUAUGCAUUGAAUAACAUAUUUAGGGCAUACAAGCAUAUGAUCAUUUAAUUUUACAUAGGUAUAUAUAAAAAAUCUUCUUUUUAAAUCCAAAACCUUGGUUUAACAGAUAUGCCAAUUUUAUCAAAGUGAUACCAAAAGUUAUAUUAUCAAAAGAUAUACCAAGUGUUAGCAAAAUGAUACCAAUUGCAAAUUUAGCUUUAAAAGGGAUACCAUUACCAAUAUUAUCAAUGCAUUUCUUCCAAGGUAAGCAUAUCCUCCUUUUUGCAUGGAUCCCUACAAAACAAAUUUAGUAACUUUUGGUACCCAUAUCCUUUUGGGUCCUAGAGGGUUAGUCUUUCUUCCCUUUGGAAUCCAAAGUAAUUUAGAGUUUUGAAGAACAUGAGGAGAUUUUCUUAAGGGACAAAUAUUACUAAUGUGACCUCAUUUUUCACAAAAAUUGCAAAUAGUUGAAGGUGAAAAACUAGAGGCUUCCUUUUAAAAAAAAAUGAAUUUUUUUUUUUUGAAAAGCUUAUAGGCUAGCCUCCUUUUAUUAAAAAUUGCAUUUUUGAUUUGCCAAAAUCAUAUCAAAGGUCUUUUGGCCAUUUGAGAAUUUUUAACUCCUCAUUUUCCUUUUCAAAAGAGAUUUUUGCCUUUUCAAUAUUUUCAAAAUUUUCAUUAUGCUCAUUGAGCUCAUUUUGAAGACAAGAAUUCUUUUUCUUGAGAGAAAUAUUUUUGAAAACAAGUUUUUCAAUAUCAAAAUAUAAUUCUUGAAGUGCAUCUUGAAUUUCAAAAUGGUUGGAGUUGGAGUUUACCUCAUCACUUUCACUUUCACUUUCUUCCUCUUCAUCAUCAUUUGUUAUAGCCAUAAAGGCUAUACUUUUCUCAUUUUCUUCAACUCUUCGAUGAUUGUACAACUCUAUCUCAUAAGUCAUGAGUGACCCAAUGAGUUCUUCAAGUGAGAACUUGGUGAGAUCCUUUGCUUCUUGAAUAGCCGUCACUUUUGUUUCCCAUUUAUUUGGUAGAGACCUUAAGAUCUUCAUGACUUUCUCUACUUCGGUGUAGGUCUUUCCCAAGGCUUCUAGUUCAUUCACAAUCACAAGAAACCUAGAAAACAUCUCAACAAUAGAUUCAAAAUCCUUUAUAGAAAAUAAUUCAUAAUCAUGCAUAAGGAUAUUGAUUUUAGACUCUUGAACUUGGUCGUUUCCCUCAUAAGUGACUUCUAAUAGUUUCCAAAUUUCUUUAGCCGACUUACAAUGCCAAAUACGAUUAAAUUCAUUUCUAUCAAUAGCACAAUGUAAGAUAAAAACAGCUUUGACAUUUAAUUGAACUUUCUUUCUAUCAAGUUCAUCCCAUUCAUGCUUAAGUUUUGGAACCAUCACUCCAUUUUCUAAUUUUGAAGGAAUGUGGGGACCAUCUUCAAUGACAUCCCAUAAAUCAAGAUUAGUAGAUUGGAUAAACCAAGUCAUUUUGGUUUUCCAAUAGGGAUAAUCGGUUCCCGUGAAAAGUGGAGGUCGGGUGGUUGAAAAACUUUCAAGUUGGGAUGAGGUUGAUGGAAUAGCCAUUACUUCUUAGACAGUUAAGUCUUAACAAGAAGCCUUGCUCUGAUACCAGUUUGUUUGGAAACUUAAAAUGUUCUCAAUCUUUUUUAUGUGUUUUCAAAUAUUUCUUAAAAACAAAUUUUAUUUGUGAUACUUUAUUUUCAAUCAUUUUCAAUAUUUAUACAAUUAUUUUUUAAGACAGUUCUAAAAAAAACAAGUAAAACAAUUAAAUCAUGUUAUUAGAAAACACUAUAUUUUUAUAAUAAGUUCUCAAAAAAAUUACCGAAUGUGUUUUCAAAUUUGGUAAAUAGUUCCCAAAUAGGCUCCAAGAUACCCAUAUUUCAUUCUCUCAAAUUCAACCACAUGGACACUCGUAGCUUUUAAAAUGGCCACUUCACGGCAUCAACACCUUUAUUCUCAAUUCCCGCAUGAUGGUGUGGAGAACAAAUGUGUAUUCUUGAAGAAACUCUUAUCCCUUACUAUGAUUGGCUCUCAACUUACUUUGAGAACUAAGAUACCUUAAUGCUUGAUGGUCAAAGUACAACACAAACUCUUAAGGUACUAGAUCAUACUUCCAAUGACGAAGUGCUUGCAAAACAACAUAGAACUUUUUAUGAUAAAUGGAAUACCUCUAUUUAGUCUCAUUGGGUUUCUUACUAAAGUAUACAAGAUGCCCUUCUUGACUUCAGACACCACCUAUGCCAACCCCUUAUGCGUCACCUGCCACCUCAAAGACUUUUGAAAAAGUUGGAUUGCUUAAGUAGGUGCUUUAGUCAUUUGUCAUUUUAAAAGCUCUUUAAAAAUUUGGAUGACUAAGACUAUGUUGAAUAGAACUGUUUUCAAUAGUCUUAGCCCUUGUGCUGUCCUAGUCUUGCUCACCCUUACCAUGACAAUGGUGACACUAUGUUAGAACCACUAGAUUGAAGAGUACUUGAAAUGGACUCUCCACCCUUAUCGUUGCUUACUCCCCUGACUAGUGUUUUUACUGCCAUGUGAAGUGAUUUGAGUGACUUUAACACUGCUAGUAUCUCUGUGGUUGUCUCCGACCCUAGCUAGAGAUAAUCCUUGUGAACAAUAAGACUUCCUAGUUUGAGAAAUCCUAAGAUCUGUCUCUAAAGCCUUGUGAUAGGCUUCUUCUAAAGUGUUUUUACUUCUCUUUUAAUUUGUGGUCUCAAUCCAUUGAUAAAUUUUGCCAGAGUUACCCAAGAUUCCUCCCUUGCAUUGAAGCCUCUUAGAAUGAGCUAAGUAGUCUUUGACAUUGGAAGAUAAUUGCUUGAGGUUAAUUUCACAUUUCAGGCCAAAAGGUGAUUGGUUCUUCACCUAAUCACACUAGGUUAGAUGUGACACUUUGCCAAUAUUGCUUUACAGAGCCAACAAGUUUCAUUCUGGUGAAGUAAAUGUGUUGGGUGUCCUACAUAUCAUUAAAAGCAAUCCUCAAGAUUUGCUAAUCGUUCAUCAUAACUAGGGGCAUCUACUUGAACCUUCUUGGUUGUAUUCACUUGAAUUAUCAUUGUGGCUGUCAUGAAUGGGUCAUUCUCACCCAUGUCUCCUAGUCCAUCAUGAGGGUCAUUAUUGAUUGUGUAAUUUUGGGCUCUACUUCCCCUUAUAGUUUUUCUAAGGUUCUCUUAUUGUGCAUUUAUCAGUGUGGUUAAGAGACCUUAGCAUGACCAUGGACUCUCAAAAGGAAUAAGAUUUGGUUCAUUGGUAGGCAUUCCAAAAUGAGAGUCUACACUAUUUUUGUUCUAAGGUGUAGAAACUGGGUGACUCAAACUGAUGUCUUUGGUUAGACAUACCCAAAUUGACUUGUAAUUAGGAGAAUUGCCUAGCCUUCUCAGAAUGAAAUUCAAUCAAUUCAGAACAAAAUUCUGUUUGAAAGUCAUUACAGAGUUGUCUAUAGAAUUCUGUUGAAGCAAAUUGGGUCAUGGAGAUGACUCAAGGACCCUGAAUGAAGAAAGCAUAAAAAAAAUAAAUCAUGAGAUAGGUGUAUAAGGAUUUUUUUUUUCCUUUUUAAAAAAAAAAUUAAAGUAAGGGUGCGAAUGAAAAGAAAAUUAAAGGGUUUGAUUUGAAGAAUGAGAGCUUUAAACUAGCUCACAACCAGAUCUCAAGAUGGGCCGACAAAUUAUUGACUUUCCAAGUAAUAAAAAUAUUAGUCAACUUCAAUGAGAGAAUGCAUACCUUAUCAAUUCUACAAUUAAUCUCUAGCGUAAACUUCUUAUGAUGGCUUUUUUUUUCCUUUUAUUAUGAUGGCC
rnacentral:lncRNA from 1 species